UACGGGGGGGGCAAGCGUUGUUCGGAAUUACUGGGCGUAAAGGGCUCGUAGGCGGCCAACUAAGUCCGACGUGAAAUCCCCAGGCUUAACCUGGGAACUGCGUCGGAUACUGGAUGGCUUGAGUGUGGCAGAGGGGGGUGGAAUUCCACGUGUAGCAGUGAAAUGCGUAGAGAUGUGGAGGAACACCGAUGGCGAAGGCAGCCCCCUGGGCUAACACUGACGCUCAUGCACGAAAGCGUGGGGAGCAAACAGG
rnacentral:rRNA from 1 species